GACCACGUAGCUCAGUUGGCAGAGCAUUGGACUAGUAUCCCGAAGGUCGCGGGUUCGAUUCCCACCGUGGCCA
rnacentral:tRNA from 1 species